CAAGUGACAGGUGGCUGUAUCUCCGAGCUUGAAGGCAGGCAAUCUUACCUACCCAGUCCAUGUGCUCUACUCCCAGUUCCCAGGGUGAGACGAUGAACAGAUGCAGGUUGGGGAGGCAGUGGGGAGAAGGGAGAGAUAAAGAACGAUAUGAGAGAGAGGG
rnacentral:lncRNA from 1 species